rnacentral:misc_RNA from 1 species
GUGCAGUGUUCUCCUUCAUAACUUUCACAAUGGAUGCAUAUGACUUUUUUGGCACUUCUUCAAUCUUAGCAUUAGAUUCAGCCACAAUCUGUGAACCAAUCACCAUCUGCGAAUCAUCAGGAAUUUCAUCAACAACUUCGGGCACUGAUGCUGCUUCCUCUUCUUCAAUUGCUGCGUCCCCAUUCUCAGAGGGAUUGCACACUUCCUCUCCAUUGGCUUCCUCAGAGAAAGCAGUUGUUUCCUCAGAAAUGUGAUUUUCUUGCACAGAAG